UCUUCCGCGCCGGCCGGCCGGCCGGCCGCCCGUUGCAUAAUGUCAGCGGCCCCUCCAGGGCCGACGCCAAGAACUGCCCGACGCCGCCGCCGACGCCGCCUCCUCGCCGUAGCUACAGUUUUCUGGACCGCGGCUGACAGCGCAACAAGCCUAACGGACACACAGGCCACUGCGGCUCCGCAGACAGCUAAAAAUGUCUUGUCCUCGACACAGCCGAUGCGAAGACAAUACCGUCACGGACAGGUAAAAUGGAAAUGAUCGUCUGGCGUCAUUGGCCGGGAGGCCUCUCACGGGGCAGGUCCGGCCGCCUUGGUGCAGGUCUUAUUACAUUCGACGCCACAUUGGGCGGCCUGCGCACCGGAUGGGGAUGAAAUGAUGAUGUAGACAACACAACACCCAGUCCCUGAGCGGAGAAAAUCCCCGACACAGCCGGAAAUCCAACCCGGGCCUCUUAGGACAGCAGUCCGUCACGCUGAUCAUUCAGCUAUCGGGUCGGACAAUUUGCAGGUGAAGGACAUUGCAAGACUGAGAAGACCCAGCUAUUACCACUAAGCAGACCACGACCAACUGAUGCAACAGUGAAGUCAGCAAAGUUUAAAUCUCUGCAGAUAUUAACAACGAAUAUCCACUGCAAGAGACAAUCAUGACUCUACGAUCAAAGCUCAUGGUUACUCAAGACGCUGUCUUCAUAAACGCACAAGUUAUGUGGAUCAAGAACUGUUCGCAACAAAUGUGGAAACUAGCAAGAAGAUCAGCCUUCUGUUUUGUUGCUAGCCCUGGCGAGAAGAUCAGCCUUCUGUUUUGGUGCUAGCACGGGCGAGUCUAUCUUCCAGUAAAAAAUUAAAUCUGCAGAAAGCGUUAGAAAAUGUGAAAAUGGUAACCUUACAAAGAGCAGUUUCUGAAAGCCGUCAUUCGCUGAUAGAACUGGUAGAAAUCAAUAUUUACUGCAGCCAUGCAACUUUAAUUCGUCAAUCAAAGUGGGAAAGCAACGGGCAAAGCUAUUUUGAAACAGAAUACUUGAUAAUGUACUUUCCAGAAAUAAUUCUGGCAACUUACCCGACCACAAAAAAGGUAAGGAUGCCUUCCCCAGAUAAAAGCGUCGUGUGUAGCUCAGGGAUGAUUCGUUGUGUGGAGGAACACCUACUCUGUUACGGCGGCAGUCUGCUAGUACAUUUGAGAUGAUACAGCCACGUCCGUAAUAUGCUGUAGUACUCAGCCAUUUUUAUGGGUAAUAAAUACCAACUUUAAUUACGAAA